rnacentral:lncRNA from 1 species
GGGGGGGUGAAUUGGGUUUCUAAAAAUUUUAAGCCCAACAGAUAACUUAUGAAGAACAAAACAAUGGCUUUAAAUCAAUAUUAGUUAACUAAAGCAGUAUUGCAAGGAUAUAAUAAAGAAAUAAGAUAAAGCGAUAAAGCACACCACAAACACAAGAAUUUAUAGUGGUUCGGUGCUAACCUUGCACCUACAUCCACUCCCCA